rnacentral:sRNA from 1 species
GAAUGUGAGGGCAACCUAGUUGUGACCCUGCCACACCAUUGAUUGCCAAGGCCCAUUAGACUGAUGUGGUGGCCCGGUGUCUUCUUUCUCUCUCACCUCCGUGUGUGUCCGUCAGGCUUCAAGUUGCCAGUUCAAACAAUAGAAAUGUCCUUCCUAGACGAAAGAGGAUUCAUCCUUGAUAGGUGCAGGCAGUGUGAGCACUGCUCAGUGAGUCCUCGAGAUGGGGCACUUUUUG